AUUGAACGCUGGCGGCAGGCCUAACACAUGCAAGUCGAGCGAGCGGCGGACGGGUGAGUAAUGCCUGGGAAUUGCCCAGUCGAGGGGGAUAACAGUUGGAAACGACUGCUAAUACCGCAUACGUUUGGAUUGCCGAGGUGGGAUUAGCUAGUUGGUGGGGUAAUGGCUCACCAAGGCGACGAUCCCUAGCUGGCCUGAGAGGAGGACCAGCCACACUGGAAACUGGACACGGUCCAGACUCCUACGGGAGGCAGCAGUGGGGAAUAUUGCACAAUGGGGGAAACCCUGAUGCAGCCAUGCAGCGUGUGUGAAGAAGGCCUUCGGGUUGUAAAGUACUUUCAGCGAGGAGGCGUUACUCGCAGAAUAAGCACCGGCUAACUCCGGGCCAGCAGCCGCGGUAAUUC
rnacentral:rRNA from 1 species